UGCCCGAUAAGACCACGACCCGGGAGGGUUGCGGGAAAAGGCGGGGUAGCAAUAUCUCGCGUCUGUGGGUGAGCCUGCGGCCUAUCAGCUAGUUGGCAGGGUAAAAGCCUACCAAGGCGAAGACGGGUAGCCGGCCUGAGAGGGUGAACGGCCACACUGGGACUGAGACACGGCCCAGACUCCUACGGGAGGCAGCAGUGAGGAAUUUUCCGCAAUGGGCGCAAGCCUGACGGAGCGACGCCGCGUGAGGGAUGAAGGCUUUCGGGUUGUAAACCUCUUUUGUGGGGGAAAAAGGUUUUCAUGCUCAUACCAUGAGAACUUGAUGGUACUCCAUGAAUAAGCCCCGGCUAACUACGUGCCAGCAGCCGCGGUAAUACGUAGGGGGCGAGCGUUGUCCGGAGUUACUGGGCGUAAAGGGCGUGUAGGCGGUUGGAUAAGUCUGGUGUGAAAUCCCAUGGCUCAACCAUGGAACUGCACUGGAAACUGUCUGACUGGAGUUC
rnacentral:rRNA from 1 species